ACUUUCACAUAGGUCUCUUUGGUAGAACUACGUCCAUUUAAAAACUAAAAAUCACAAAAAGUCUGCAACGUCACAAACCGGGAUACGUAUCUGGUUGUUUCACCGUCUGUAUGCAGAAAUAGCGUAGUCUUAGGCGUGACAAAUUACUCACUUUUUCAAAACGCGAACUUUUAAUUUUCUUCCGUGGCUCUAUAAUUUUUAACUAAAGGACGCGCUAUCUUCAUCGAGGAGUGAAAUAUUGUAGUGCAUAAAAGUAGUAGGCUGUGAACAAGGCGCUCGUCGCCCAACUAGCUUGGAAAAGAGCUUAAAAUGGACGUAGUUCUACCAAAGAGACCUAUGUGGAAGUGAGAAAUAUGGGGUGUGCUCGUUAGUUCUCUUGCGUAAGAGUAAAUGAGAAUAACAAAGGGCCAGUGACGUCAGCGGCAAUGAAGGAGACGUCGCCCGGCCGGGAGAUGGUCGUGCGUCGCUUCUAACUCAUGAGCCCUGCCCACAAGGCUCUCUUGCCCUGCCCGCGGCUCAUGACUCCCGCAUUCAGUUGGCACAUAGGUCUGUUUGAUAGAAUGCAAUAUCCCGCUUUUCCAAUUCUUCAAAAGGAACCACGCCCACUUUUACAUUACUUCUUAUGCAGAUUUCUAGAGCACACCCCAUAUUUCUCACCGCCACAUAGGUCUGUUUGGUAGAAAUACGUCCAAAUGUACUUACUGGUAACGGUGAAGUGUUGUACUCAUCAGAUAAAAAAUCUAGUUUCGAUAAGCAAGCAGCUAAUGAAAGUGGUUAUCAGACUCAAUCUGAACGAAGCGGCAACGGAAUGUUGCCUAAGACUGAACCGUUUCAAAUGUGUUUGGCAGCAUGAAUUUAAGGGCUUUGGUUUUCUUCAAUCUUGGCACAGUCUUUUUGGCUGCGGGUAGAAAUGUGAUAUCGGAUGAGUAUUUCAAUACUGUCCCAGGAGCAACUGUGACGUUCCACUGCCCCAAUUAUGACGCCGAGACACCACGAAUUUACGCUGUAGACGAGGCUGUGGUUACCCCAGAGUUAACUGAUGAAGACAUGAUCUCAGAUACGGGAUCCAUAAUGCUCGUCAACGUUAAUGAAAAUGAUUCAAAGAUGUACGUUUGUGCAGUGCCAGGAGUCAAAGAUUACGUUCAAGUGAGGAUUCAUGUGAAAGUUCAAGACAAAUCUUUACACUCCGGCCAAGAACUCAUCGAUGUACCCUCGUUCCGACGAUCUCCGAUGGUGGGAGCAGCUGCCAAGGCCAAACGCAGGCAACAGAAGAAAAAAAGGCGAAAAAAAUACCAAACUGAGGAUGAAACAACAACAGCUUUGCCAUCAUCAACCACAACAAAACCUCCAACAACAACAACAGAUCUAGCUCAAAAUCCGGAUAAUCCACCAGGUGCGAAGCCUGAAGAACUGGAGGAAUACAAAAAACGGACAGAGCUCCGAAAGUCUCUUUACCCGCCCUCGAAACCGAAACUGGUGUUAUUUAACGAUACAGCAGUGCAAGUAACAUGGUCGAUUAACAUAAUGUUGGAUCAUCCAGUUAAGUAUUUUACGGUUCAGUACCUGGACAAAGACCGCAAAGAUGACGUCAUUGGAGGAGGAAGCGAGUGCCACAACGCAGAGAAGAUCCCGGCGGUCCUAUAUUUUCAUAAUUUCGACCGUCUACAACCAGGACAUUCCUAUCAGUUCAGAGUUGCAGCCGUUUACGAUGUGCCAGACGAGAUAUCUGUGCUCGGAAAGAGCUCUGAAUGGAUUCACAUCGAAUAAUAUGCGCUUGAUAUCGUCCUGAACAGAAACCGAUACGCUUUUUUCCUUUUUUCUUGUUCCUGAUUGCUGCUGUCUAUGACGGAAAAAGUUUUUCUACAAGUUAAGCUAUUGUUCCGAUUGGUUGUCUCUAAGAUAUAAACAAUGAAAUUAGUCUCAUCAAAAGAUUUUGCACUAUUUUUAGUGUACCUGCACGUUCUAUAUGGAGUAAUAUCAGACAUCCGCAAGCAGCUCCUUAUAAAUCAUAAAUACCAUCGAACUUACCAACAAAUAAACGAAAGUGAAUCCGUAGAAAUUGCAUCAAGAUUUCAUCAGCUCCAGACAUUUUUCAAAUCUGUGACCAGGUAUAUUUAGUCGAAACCCAUUAAAAAGUUAGGCUCCUAUUGCGAGAACAACUUUCUUAAAACAAUUUAAUUAGUGCUAGAAUUGAGGGGCUUGGAGGACAAGGCGCUUAAGUGCAGUUUUUGCGAUUUCGAGAAAUAAGUGCUUGAAGUUUCGAAAUUACACGGAUCCUUAUGGCGGAAAAAAAGUUCAAACUGACUUUCUGAUGCUUACAAAUUGGAAUUUGGCAGCCAAUUUUCCACGUAAUAUACAGUAAAAUUAGUUUUACUUGAAAUCGUUAAUACAUAAAUUUUUUUUAAAAAACCUCACUUAUGCGCCUUGUCCUCGAAGCCUCUCGAUUUCCUGAAUUUCAUGCUUGUAUAAAUAUAAUUUUUUUCGACAUCAUUUUGUAAGAGUUCAUAAAUGGAUGUACCUAUACAAAUAAACAAAAAUACAACAUAAAAUAAUAUCGUAAAACCACGGUGGUAGCUUCUCAUUCACCUUCAACCACUGACCCAACUAAAUUGCCUUAUGAGAGUAUGCCAGCAGGGUGCAUUACUCUUGAGGAUGUCGCUUGUGCACUUGUGCAGUGUGCACCCAUCACAAUAAACUGUGGAAUCCUAACAGUCGAACGGAAAAAUGUAUAAUUUACUUGUAUUCUCUUGCAUCUUACAUUUACUUUGCAACUUACUCGGCAAGGUACAAAAUUCAGCAUUCUGGUGUACA
rnacentral:lncRNA from 1 species